ACAAGGAACAUGUCAACAGCUGGGCUUGGGGUUUGAGGAACAGAGCCGCUGCGAUUGGAACAGAGCCCGGCCACCCUGUUCCACCACUGUCCACUCCGUAGCUCCCAGCCUGCCGCCGCGCGGUGCCCGAACACGAGAGGGCACCUCCUCCCAGAUCCGGGGCGCAGAAGCCCCGCGGAGGCAGGGAAGUUCCUGGGCUUUGCUCCAAAGCUGCCCCGGAAUGUUUUGGUUGGUUUGGAGAAAAGCUGUGGCGUCUACACCACUUGUUCCAAGCAGGCGGCCCCCUGGUGGCUAACGGGGGGUGAGAAAGCUGGCCACUGAGGAAGAAGUCUGGCGCAGGUAGGCCCCAACAGUUGACAACCUAGUCUUCGGGUCUUCUUCACAGCGUGUGAACAGCUUAGUAUUACCGCGGGGGGGCGGGAGGGGGUUGGGGGGUGGUGAGGUGAAGCAAAUCUUCCUUCAACACGGUGGAUCAUGGGCUUCUCGGCCUACUGGAACUUUUAAUUUUUUUCUCUUCCUGAGUAUAACUUGGAGCUAAAUUAUUUAAGAAGGAGACAUACAGAGGACAAAAUGAAAUGUAACAAAAACUGUUGCUUCUCUUUGUUCAAGGGCUUUGUCUUUCUGAUCUCAUUUUGCCCAGAAAAUUCAGAAAUGAGCCAAUUAAAGCAUGAAAUAAAUAAAGGGCGUGGCAUUAUUCAAACA
rnacentral:lncRNA from 1 species